CCUGUCCCUAGAGGCAUUGCAGGUGUGGCUGCUGUGUCACAUGUGUAGGUGACAGAGAGGAGAGAGGCUAUGUCUAUGCUCAGCGUUCUUACCUACGAACAUCUGAAUGAUUACAGUAGCCCAACGUU